ensembl:snRNA U6 U6 spliceosomal RNA
GUGUGAUCACUUAUCCGUGCAUGUACUAAAAUUGGAAUGCUGCAGAGAUUAUCAUGGCCCCUGCACAAGGAGGACACACAAAUUCUAAAGUGUUCCAUAUUUUA